GGGACGUUAGCUCAGUUGGUAGAGCGCCGUGUUCACACCGCGGAGGUCACUGGUUCGAGCCCAGUACGUCCCACCA
rnacentral:tRNA from 1 species